rnacentral:misc_RNA from 1 species
GCUAAAUGGUCCUUGAAAA